rnacentral:rRNA from 1 species
UCGGGAAUCUUGCACAAUGGGCGAAAGCCUGAUGCAGCAACGCCGCGUGAGGGAGGAAGGCUUUUGGGUUGUAAACCUCUUUUCUCAAGGAAGAUAGUGACGGUACUUGAGGAAUCAGCAUCGGCUAACUCCGUGCCAGCAGCCGCGGUAAUACGGAGGAUGCAAGCGUUAUCCGGAAUAAUUGGGCGUAAAGCGUUCGUAGGUGGUUUUGUAAGUCUGCUGUUAAAGCGUGUAGCUCAACUACAUAUAGGCAGUGGAAACUACAAAACUUGAGUGCGUUCGGGGCAGAGGGAAUUCCUAGUGUAGCGGUGAAAUGCGUAGAGAUUAGGAAGAACACCGGUGGCGAAAGCGCUCUGCUAGGCCGCAACUGACACUGAGGGACGAAAGCUAGGGGAGCGAAUGGGAUUAGAUACCCGCGUAGUCC